rnacentral:rRNA from 1 species
AUUGAUCGCUGGCGGCAGGCCUAACACAUGCAAGUCGAGCGGAGCUGCGGACGGGUGCGUAAUGCCUAGGAAUCUGCCUGGUAGUGGGGUAUAACGCCCGGAGGCGGGCGCUAAUAACGCAUACUUUCAAGUGAGCCUAGGUCGGAUUAGCUAGGUGGUGGGGUAAAGGCCUACCAAGGCGACGAUCCGUAACUGGUCGGAGAGGAUGAUCAGUCACACCGGAACUGGAACACGGUCCAGACUCAUACGAGAGGCAGCAGUAGGGAAUAUUGGACAAUGGGCGAAAGCCUGAUCCAGCCAUGCAGAGUGAGUGAAGAAGGUGUUCGGGUUGUAAAGAACUGUAAGUAGGGAAGCGUUAACAACAGAAUAAGCAACGGCUAACUUCGUGCCAGCAGCCGCGGUAAUUC